GAUGAACGCUGGCGGCGUGCCUAAUACAUGCAAGUCGAGCGAAUGGAUUAAGAGCUUGCUCUUAUGAAGUUAGCGGCGGACGGGUGAGUAACACGUGGGUAACCUGCCCAUAAGACUGGGAUAACUCCGGGAAACCGGGGCUAAUACCGGAUAACAUUUUGAACCGCAUGGUUCGAAAUUGAAAGGCGGCUUCGGCUGUCACUUAUGGAUGGACCCGCGUCGCAUUAGCUAGUUGGUGAGGUAACGGCUCACCAAGGCAACGAUGCGUAGCCGACCUGAGAGGGUGAUCGGCAAGACUGGGACUGAGACACGGCCCAGACUCCUACGGGAGGCAGCAGUAGGGAAUCUUCCGCAAUGGACGAAAGUCUGACGGAGCAACGCCGCGUGAGUGAUGAAGGCUUUCGGGUCGUAAAACUCUGUUGUUAGGGAAGAACAAGUGCUAGUUGAAUAAGCUGACACCUUGACGGUACCUAACCAGAAAGCCACGGCUAACUACGUGCCAGCAGCCGCCGCCG
rnacentral:rRNA from 1 species